UAGGGAAUCUUCCGCAAUGGACGCAAGUCUGACGGAGCAACGCCGCGUGAGUGAAGAAGGAUUUCGGUUCGUAAAACUCUGUUGUUAGAGAAGAACAGCGCAUAGAGUAACUGUUAUGCGUGUGACGGUAUCUAACCAGAAAGCCACGGCUAACUACGUGCCAGCAGCCGCGGUAAUACGUAGGUGGCAAGCGUUGUCCGGAUUUAUUGGGCGUAAAGCGAGCGCAGGCGGUCAAUUAAGUCUGAUGUGAAAGCCCCCGGCUCAACCGGGGAGGGUCAUUGGAAACUGGAAAACUUGAGUGCAGAAGAGGAAAGUGGAAUUCCAUGUGUAGCGGUGAAAUGCGUAGAUAUAUGGAAGAACACCAGUGGCGAAGGCGACUCUCUGGUCUGUAACUGACGCUGAGGCUCGAAAGCGUGGGUAGCAAACAGG
rnacentral:rRNA from 1 species